UGUUUACUGAGCUUAGAGUUUGAUCCUGGCUCAGAACGAACGCUGGCGGCAGGCUUAACACAUGCAAGUCGAGCGAUCCCUUCGGGGAUAGCGGCGGACGGGUGAGUAACGCGUGGGAACGUACCCUCUUCUGCGGGAUAGCCACUGGAAACGGUGAGUAAUACCGCAUACGCCCUUUUGGGGAAAGAUUUAUCGGAGGAGGAUCGGCCCGCGUUGGAUUAGGUAGUUGGUGGGGUAAUGGCCUACCAAGCCGACGAUCCAUAGCUGGUUUUAGAGGAUGAUCAGCCACACCGGGACUGAGACACGGCCCGGACUCCUACGGGAGGCAGCAGUGGGGAAUAUUGGACAAUGGGCGCAAGCCUGGUCCAGCCAUGCCGCGUGUGUGAAGAAGGCUUUCGGGUUGUAAAGCACUUUCAGCGGGGAAGAAGGCCUGGCGGUCAAUACCCGCCAUGAACGACAUCACCCGCAGAAGAAGCACCGGCUAACUCCGUGCCAGCAGCCGCGGUAAUACGGAGGGUGCAAGCGUUAAUCGGAAUUACUGGGCGUAAAGCGCGCGUAGGCGGCGUGUCACGCCGGGUGUGAAAGCCCCGGGCUCAACCUGGGAACGGCAUCCGGAACGGGCAGGCUAGAGUGCAGGAGAGGAAGGUAGAAUUCCCGGUGUAGCGGUGAAAUGCGUAGAGAUCGGGAGGAAUACCAGUGGCGAAGGCGGCCUUCUGGACUGACACUGACGCUGAGGUGCGAAAGCGUGGGUAGCAAACAGGAUUAGAUACCCUGGUAGUCCACGCCGUAAACGAUGUCGACUAGCCGUUGGGUCCCUUGAGGACUUAGUGGCGCAGUUAACGCGAUAAGUCGACCGCCCGGGGAGUACGGCCGCAAGGUUAAAACUCAAAUGAAUUGACGGGGGCCCGCACAAGCGGUGGAGCAUGUGGUUUAAUUCGAUGCAACGCGAAGAACCUUACCUACCCUUGACAUCCUGCGAAGCCGGAAGAGAUUCUGGUGUGCCUUCGGGAGCGCAGAGACAGGCGCUGCAUGGCUGUCGUCAGCUCGUGUUGCGAAAUGUUGGGUUAAGUCCCGUAACGAGCGCAACCCUUAUCCUUAUUUGCCAGCGGGUCAUGCCGGGAACUCUAGGGAGACUGCCGGUGACAAACCGGAGGAAGGUGGGGACGACGUCAAGUCAUCAUGGCCCUUACGGGUAGGGCUACACACGUGCUACAAUGGCCGGUACAAAGGGUUGCAAAGCCGCGAGGUGGAGCUAAUCCCGAAAAGCCGGUCUCAGUUCGGAUCGGAGUCUGCAACUCGACUCCGUGAAGUCGGAAUCGCUAGUAAUCGUGAAUCAGAAUGUCACGGUGAAUACGUUCCCGGGCCUUGUACACACCGCCCGUCACACCAUGGGAGUGGACUGCACCAGAAGUGGUUAGCUUAACCCUCGGGAGAGCGAUCACCACGGUGUGGUUCAUGACUGGGGUGAAGUCGUAACAAGGUAACC
rnacentral:rRNA from 1 species